rnacentral:rRNA from 1 species
UGCCAGCAGCCGCGGUAAUACGGAGGGUGCGAGCGUUAAUCGGAAUAACUGGGCGUAAAGGGCACGCAGGCGGUAAAUUAAGUGAGAUGUGAAAUCCCUGAGCUUAACUUGGGAAUUGCAUUUCAGACUGGUUUACUAGAGUACUCUAGGGAGGGGUAGAAUUCCACGUGUAGCGGUGAAAUGCGUAGAGAUGUGGAGGAAUACCGAAGGCGAAGGCAGCCCCUUGGGGAGAUACUGACGCUCAUGUGCGAAAGCGUGGGGAGCAAACAGGAUUAGAUA